GAGGCUCAGAGAGGCACAGAGAAGCCCAGACUUGUUUGUU
rnacentral:tRNA from 1 species